rnacentral:rRNA from 1 species
GACGAACGCUGGCGGCGUGCCUAAUACAUGCAAGUCGAACGAGAGCGACCGGUGCUUGCACUGGUCAGUCUAGUGGCGAACGGAUGAGUAACACGUGGGUAACCUGCCCAUCAGAGGGGGAUAACAUCCGGAAACGGAUGCUAAAACCGCAUAGGUCUUCGAACCGCAUGGUUUGAAGAGGAAAAGAGGCGCAAGCUUCUGCUGAUGGAUGGACCCGCGGUGCAUUAGCUAGUUGGUGAGGUAACGGCUCACCAAGGCCGUGAUGCAUAGCCGACCUGAGAGGGUGAUCGGCCACAUUGGGACUGAGACACGGCCCAAACUCCUACGGGAGGCAGCAGUAGGGAAUCUUCCGCAAUGGACGCAAGUCUGACGGAGCAACGCCGCGUGAGUGAAGAAGGUUUUCGGAUCGUAAAACUCUGUUGUUAGAGAAGAACAAGUGCUAGAGCAACUGUUAGCGCCUUGACGGUAUCUAACCAGAAAGCCACGGCUAACUACGUG